rnacentral:circRNA from 1 species
AUUCGAUGGGAACUUUAAUACCAAUGUGUCUAGAACAAUUAGUUGUGAUCGACUUUCUACUACUGUUAAUAGCCGGGCCUUCAAUCCAGGACGAGACUUAAAUUCAGUUCUUGCAGACAACCUGAAAUCCAACCCUGGAAUUAAGUGGCAAUAUUUCAGUUCAGAAGAAGGAAUUUUCACUGUUUUCCCAGCACACAAGUUCCGGUGUAAGGGCAGCUACGAACACCGCAGUAGACCCAUCUACGUCUCUACAGUCCGGCCGCAGUCAAAGCACAUAGUAGUGAUUCUGGACCACGGGGCUUCAGUCACAGACACUCAGCUUCAGAUUGCCAAGGACGCUGCUCAGGUCAUCCUCAGCGCCAUCGAUGAACAUGACAAGAUUUCUGUGUUAACUGUGGCAGAUACCGUCCGGACUUGCUCACUAGACCAGUGCUAUAAGACCUUCUUGUCUCCAGCCACCAGUGAGACAAAAAGGAAAAUGUCCACCUUUGUUAGCAGCGUGAAGUCUUCAGACAGUCCUACCCAGCACGCAGUGGGAUUCCAAAAGGCAUUUCAGCUGAUUCGAAGUACAAACAAUAACACAAAGUUCCAAGCAAAUACAGACAUGGUCAUCAUUUACCUGUCAGCUGGCAUUACAUCAAAGGACUCUUCGGAAGAAGAUAAAAAAGCGACUCUCCAAGUCAUCAAUGAAGAAAAUAGCUUUCUAAACAACUCUGUAAUGAUUCUCACCUAUGCCCUCAUGAACG